ACUGGAAAAUACGGUUGGACAGAACCGGGAAGAGAAGUUUGCAGCCUGAAGUGGCCUCCGGUGUAUCUCUUCCAAGUCGUGUAUCCGAGCCUUGUAAUAGUGUAUUCUUUUCUGGCCCUCCGGGUCUUGUAACGUACAUCUUGUUGAUUGAAAAAUGAGAAAGAGAUUUUAUUACCCAUCCGCACUUUGCGUUGAAUUGUUGUCUGCCGAACUUCUUUCCUUUGCCAUUGUCGUUGUUGUAUUCCCUUUCCCCUUUUCUCUUCUUUUCUUUUUCUUCUCUCUUCUUUCUCUUUUUUUUUUUUUUUU
rnacentral:lncRNA from 1 species